rnacentral:rRNA from 1 species
UACGGAGGGUGCAAGCGUUAUCCGGAUUCACUGGGUUUAAAGGGUGCGUAGGCGGGCAGGUAAGUCCGUGGUGAAAUCUCUGAGCUUAACUCAGAAACUGCCAUGGAUACUAUUUGUCUUGAAUAUUGUGGAGGUGAGCGGAAUAUGUCAUGUAGCGGUGAAAUGCUUAGAUAUGACAUAGAACACCAAUUGCGAAGGCAGCUCACUACACAGUCACUGACGUGAGGCACGAAAGCGUGGGGAUCAAACAGG